UACAGAGGGUGCGAGCGUUAAUCGGAAUUACUGGGCGUAAAGGGCGCGUAGGCGGUUAGUUAAGAUUGAUGUGAAAGCCCUGGGCUUAACCUAGGAAUGGCAUCGAUGACUGGCGAGCUAGAGUACUGUAGAGGGUAGUGGAAUUUCCGGUGUAGCGGUGAAAUGCGUAGAGAUCGGAAGGAACACCGGUGGCGAAGGCGGCUACCUGGACAGUGACUGACGCUGAGGCGCGAAAGCGUGGGGAGCAAAC
rnacentral:rRNA from 1 species